rnacentral:rRNA from 1 species
CCGGAUUGGAGUCUGCAACUCGACUCCAUGAAGUCGGAAUCGCUAGUAAUCGUGGAUCAGAAUGCCACGGUGAAUACGUUCCCGGGCCUUGUACACACCGCCCGUCACACCAUGGGAGUGGGCUGCACCAGAAGUAGAUAGCUUAACCUUUCGGGGAGGGCGUUUACCACGGUGUGGUUCAUGACUGGGGUGAAGUCGUAACAAGGUAGCGCUAGGGGAACCUGGCGCUGGAUCACCUCCUUAUACGAUA